rnacentral:rRNA from 1 species
AUACGUAGGUGACAAGCGUUAUCCGGAUUUACUGGGCGUAAAGGGCGUGUAGGCGGUCUUGCAAGUCAGAAGUGAAAUUCCUGAGCUCAACUCGGGCGCUACUUCUGAAACUGCAGGACUUGAGUGCUGGAGGGGAUAGCGGAAUUCCUAGUGGAGCGGUAAAAUGCGCAGAUAUUAGGAAGAACACCGGUGGCGAAGGCGGCUAUCUGGACAGUAACGGACGCUGAGGCGCGAAAGCGUGGGGAGCAAACAGGAUUAGAUACCCUGGUGGUCCACGCCGUAAACGAUGAAUACUAGGUGUAGGGGGUAUCGACUCCCUCUGUGCCGCAGUUAACACAAUAAGUAUUCCGCCUGGGGAGUACGGCCGCAAGGUUGAAACUCAAAUGAAUUGACGGGG